rnacentral:rRNA from 1 species
CACCUAGGAAACAGAUGCUAAUACCGGAUAACAACAGAUGAUGCCUAUCAACUGUUUAAAAGAUGGUUCUGCUAUCACUCUUGGAUGGACCUGCGAUGCAUUAGCUAGUUGGUAGGGUAACGGCCUACCAAGGCGAUGAUGCAUAGCCGAGUUGAGAGACUGAUCGGCCACAUUGGGACUGAGACACGGCCCAAACUCCUACGGGAGGCAGCAGCC